UCAGCAAAGUUUGAAAUGAUUUGUUCAAGCCCUUCACCUGUUAAUACAAUUUCAGGUUUGUGCAUCAAAACCCAAUAUCUACUGUCCACUACUAUCAAAAGGUGAGUGUGCAACUAACGUAGACAUCUGUACAAUGAUUGAUAAAUAGUGUUUACGCAACUAAAACAGUUAAUGUUGCAUGAAUAUUUUCAGAUUUCUGCAAUACGCUACAUGUGAAACUUCCUCCUUAUGCUUUAUUUGAUUCUCCACUCCAUGAACUGUUUUUAUGAAGCAGCACAAAACCAAUAAAAAGGUUUGUGCAUUAAAACUCAAUCUCUACUGUCCACUACUCGCAAAAGAUUUCUGCAAAACGCUACACUUCAAACUUCCUUCUCCAUUAUAUGAUUCUCCACUCCAUGAACUUUCUAUGAAGCAGCACAAAACCGAUUAAAAAGGUAAAUUCCAUUGCACGAUGUCUGCAAAUCUUGAAUUGACACAUUUCAAGCAUUGCUUCACCUAAUGGCAAUAAAUUUUCAGGUUUGUGCAUCAAAACUCAAUAUCUACUGUCCACUACUCCCAGAAGGUUUCUGCAAUGCGCUACACUUCAAACUUCCUUCUCCAUUAUGAUUCUCCAGUCCAUGAACUGUUUUUAUGAAGCACACAACCGAUAAAAAUAAAAGGUAGAAUAUAAUAUCCUUUGUGC
ensembl:lncRNA